UACGUAGGGUGCGAGCGUUGUCCGGAAUUACUGGGCGUAAAGAGCUCGUAGGUGGUUUGUCGCGUUGUUCGUGAAAACCGGGGGCUUAACCCUCGGCGUGCGGGCGAUACGGGCAGACUUGAGUACUGCAGGGGAGACUGGAAUUCCUGGUGUAGCGGUGGAAUGCGCAGAUAUCAGGAGGAACACCGGUGGCGAAGGCGGGUCUCUGGGCAGUAACUGACGCUGAGAAGCGAAAGCGUGGGGAGCGAACAGG
rnacentral:rRNA from 1 species